GCUCAUUCCCUGUGUGAGAAAAUAAUAUCCCAAGAUCCUCCUGGCAGAAUCAUCUUUGUCUUGAGGGCCUGGUAUAUAAGCCACAAAACACUACCAUAUAACAAUAUAGAUAACAAUAUGCAUGUACACAGGUCUUUUCUUCUUAGAUAUUAUAUACACUGAACUACAGAUCCUGGAAGAAUCAAUUUUCUUCUUUCUUGAGAUCCUGAUUACUCCUACUCGGGAAUCAUUGUUAUGUGGAUGCAGAUGACCUUCAACCAGACGGAAGAGACCUCACAAGUGUAGAAUGGUAUCCAUAGCGGCAAGACGGACCUGUACAAGACUGCGAUGAGAGAUGCCACAAAGUUUGUAGUGGAAGACGUGACUCGCUUUAUUCACGACAAUGUACAGUAUUAACCGGAGCCCUACAGACUACAGAUGUGGCUCCCCUGCCAACUGGAGUCAGGUGCUCUGAGAACCCUGGGAGACCAAACCUCUUCCCCUACUCUGGCUUGCUUUCUAUAAGGUGAUUUUGGACUGGAGAAUGCUCGCUCUCUCCCCUGGCUCAUUGACAAUGUUGCUAAGGAACGGUUUGAUGCUAUAUACUGCAUGCAGGAGACAACUUCAAUGUGAGAGUUGGUGAGCCAACAGUGCACAAGUUUGGACUGGUUCUACAAAUAAGUAUGGAGUGGCCAUUGAAUUGUGGGGUCAUGAGCACAUCUACAAGCACUGGCCUCUCUACGACUUCACGGUGAGCUCCCUCUGACCUGCCAGUGCUAGUAGCUUCAUCGUAACAUGUCCACUUGAGCACCAAAACAGUAAACUAUUUAAAUACACACAUCAUGUAAAUACGUAGCCAGUCAGAAGUCCUCGCAUGUCAUGUAUACACAAAUGACAUGCAUGCAGAGCACAGAAUGGUGAAAAGACGGGAAAUGAUCGGCUAUAAUUAUGAUUGUUGCCAUGUUGCUAAAGAGGAUGUCAAAGUCCAUAAUUAUUAAUGGCUGCAAUGAAUAGUACCAAGAGUUCAUUUGAUAGAUGGCACAUGUUAUUGACAAGUACACCAUCACCAAUACCCCAUAGCUACAAUCUUAAUGUACUCCUGCUACAAUUAACUGUCUUAACACAACAUUAUAUACAUUAUGAUAACCAUGACAUGAACAGUAAACCAUAC